GCUACGAAUUACGCAGAUAUUCAUAAGAUGGUUUUCCCUACGAAUUACGGGAAAUAAAAAUAGGCUGCCUACGCCUUACGUAAAAGAGCAUGCAGACCCUCCUGCGGGUCGGCGGAGGCAUCGUCCCUUAAUCGGGCAUUUCCGACCGAGCAUAUGGCCUUAGUUGCUGAAGAUCAUCAAGAUGAGAGGAUGGAGGUGUGCUUCACAAAGCUAAAGCAGGCACAAAAAGACCUAAAAAACUACAAGAGAAAAUGUACACAGGCAGAGCACGAAAAUGAACAACUGGAAGAGAGAUACGAGUGGCUUACUCAACAGUACUAGUAUUAGAUCGUAUUGCAGCUCCACACAAAUGUAGAACACUUCCAGAAAGUCAUAGCAGAAAAGUCAUCUGAUGUGUUCGAAAUCAGUAAAAACCUCGCAGCUGAAAACAAGAGGAAUGAAGAACUGACAACAAAUUUCUAUUUUGAUACCACGUUUAUGUCAUGAUCCCUUGUCAUUUUUCUGUACUGAUUUAUAAUUAUGUAAAGUAGAGAUACAUGUAUCUGUCAUUUGUUUGUUAUCAUAAGGUUAAUUGUUGUUGCAGUUUCUGUACAGAUAGCAGCAAUUCUUUAUUUUUAUGUAUCACUCAGUGCAUAAUUGCUGAAGUCAUAAUGUUCUGUCAGAAGUGUAGGUGAGGUACACCAGUCAAGUUAGAAAGAAUUAUAAGAACAAUCUAGAGGUAAUCAUGAAGGACAGGCUUGGUCGCUUUCAGUAGGCACCUCCAAUAUUGGCAUGCAUUGUUUUAAUUGUCUUUCUUGAGUACCCUGUAGAAAAAGAAGAGAAAUGAUGAGGAAUGUUUCAAAAGUCAAAUGGUAAAUAGCUUGGUAAAGUUGGUUCAAGAGUUAUAAAAUGAAUGUA